GAGAGUGGAUUUUGUGGGUGUAAAAAAGUAUUAUAAAAACAACAUGUUUUACAAAACACCCACACCCAUGUGUUGGUGUAAAAAAGUAUUUCUGUUUUUUAUCUUAAAUCAGAUGAAGAAAUAAUUUCACUAAGUAAGUAGUUAAAGACCCGGGAAGAAAAGUUCAGCAACUGGAAACAUGUGCGAUAGCCUGGACACACCAUCAAUAUUUCUUAUCGGUGGUUAUGAUGGUGUGACUUGGCUAUCAUCUCUCGAUUGUUUUUCUCCAAAAAAAAUAAUAUUCUGGUGCCUCUCAUGUUGAUGUGCUCUGCUUGUUCAUAUGCAUCUGUUGCUUCAGUGGAAGGCUAUGCAUUUGUAUUUGGUGGUGAGGAUGGAGUGCAAGUAUACAAUACAAGGAGUAACAAGUGGAUGAUAUGCCCUGGUUUGACCAUGAGAAAGGAACUCUUGCUUGAGUAAGUCAUAAUAGCAAAAUCUACGCAAUGGAUGGAGAUGGAACUCAAACUUAUUCAGAAGUUGUGAUGCUUACCCUUUUCUUUUCAAGAGGAGAAGCCGGUGAGGUGUUGCUGCUGCAGAUCGCAGGCGGACCUAUGCGACGACAGAAGGUAGAGGGUAGCAAGGUGGCGCCGUGGGUGG